CAGGCGUCGAGCGGCGGACGGGUGAGUAAUGCUUGAGAAUCUGCCUAUUUGUGGGGGAUAGCUCGGGGAAACUCGGAUUAAUACCGCAUACGCCCUACGGGGGAAAGCAGGGGAUCUUCGGACCUUGCGCUAUUGGAUGAGCCUAAGUCGGAUUAGCUUGUUGGUGGGGUAAUGGCCUACCAAGGCGACGAUCCGUAGCUGGUCUGAGAGGAUGAUCAGCCACAUCGGGACUGAGACACGGCCCGAACUCCUACGGGAGGCAGCAGUGGGGAAUAUUGGACAAUGGGCGCAAGCCUGAUCCAGCCAUGCCGCGUGUGUGAAGAAGGCUUUCGGGUUGUAAAGCACUUUCAGCGAGGAGGAAGGCUUUAACGCUAAUAUGGUGAAGGAUUGACGUCACUCGCAGAAGAAGCACCGGCUAACUCCGUGCCAGCAGCCGCGGUAAUACGGAGGGUGCAAGCGUUAAUCGGAAUUACUGGGCGUAAAGCGCGCGUAGGUGGUUAUGUAAGCGAGAUGUGAAAGCCCCGGGCUCAACCUGGGAACGGCACUUGAAACUGCAUGGCUAGAGUGUGGUAGAGGGAAGUGGAAUUUCCUGUGUAGCGGUGAAAUGCGUAGAUAUAGGAAGGAACACCAGUGGCGAAGGCGGCUACCUGGACUGACACUGACACUGAGGUGCG
rnacentral:rRNA from 1 species